CGAUUUAUGAUCAGAUAUGGCUAGGCUCAUACAUGUCAGGUGGCGUAGGAUUCACACAAUAUGCAACAGCAGCAUACACAGACAACAUCCUAGACGACUUCACCUACUAUGGUAGAGAAUACGUCGAAGACAAGUAUGGUGGACUUACAGAAGCACCUAACACCAUGGACACAGUCCUAGACGUGGCAAGUGAAGUCACAUUCUAUUCCCUAGAACAGUAUGAGGAUUACCCAUCCCUACUCGAGACACAAUUUGGAAGAUCACAGAGGGCAGCUGUCGCAGCAGCAGCAUCCGCUUGUUCAACAGGAUUCGCAACAGGAAACUCACAGACCGCAUUAAGCGGAUGGUACUUGUCAAUGUACUUACACAAGGAGCAGCACGCAAGACUUGGAUUCUACGGAUACGACCUCCAAGACCAGUGUGGUGCAGCUAACGUCUUCGCAAUAAGAGGAGACGAGGGCCUACCAUUAGAGGCAAGGGGAGCCAACUAUCCAAACUACGCCAUGAACGUA
rnacentral:rRNA from 1 species